rnacentral:rRNA from 1 species
AGUGAACGCUGGCGGUAGGCCUAACACAUGCAAGUCGAACGGCAGCACAGUAAGAGCUUGCUCUUACGGGUGGCGAGUGGCGGACGGGUGAGGAAUACAUCGGAAUCUACUUUUUCGUGGGGGAUAACGUAGGGAAACUUACGCUAAUACCGCAUACGACCUACGGGUGAAAGCAGGGGAUCUUCGGACCUUGCGCGAUUGAAUGAGCCGAUGUCGGAUUAGCUAGUUGGCGGGGUAAAGGCCCACCAAGGCGGCGAUCCGUAGCUGGUCUGAGAGGAUGGUAGGCCACCCCGGAAGGGAAGCGACGGCCCAGCGCCUAAGGGGGGGAGCAGGGGGGGAGAAUGGGCAAAGGGGGGAAACCUGGUGCAACCAAUCCGGGGGGGGGGAAGAGGCCCUCCGGGUGUUAAGGCCCUUUUUUGGGGAAAAAAAGGGGGCGGGUUAUUACCCGGUUGUUUGACGGUAACCGAAAAAGAAGCCCCGGCUAACUUCGUG